UACGGAGGAUCCGAGCGUUAUCCGGAUUUAUUGGGUUUAAAGGGAGCGUAGGUGGAUUGUUAAGUCAGUUGUGAAAGUUUGCGGCUCAACCGUAAAAUUGCAGUUGAAACUGGCAGUCUUGAGUACAGUAGAGGUGGGCGGAAUUCGUGGUGUAGCGGUGAAAUGCUUAGAUAUCACGAAGAACUCCGAUUGCGAAGGCAGCUCACUGGACUGCAACUGACACUGAGGCUCGAAAGUGUGGGUAUCAAGCAGG
rnacentral:rRNA from 1 species